rnacentral:lncRNA from 1 species
GUUUAGAGAAGCCCUUUCAAUAUUUCCUUUAACCUGGGUUUUGUGUUGCUGUAUUCUUUAAGUUGUUGUUUGUUGGAAAAAAUUUUUAUUUCCCCUUCUAUUUUAAAUGAUGUUCUUGCUGGAUAGAGUAUUCUAGGUUGCAUAUUUUUUCCUUUUAGCACUUUAAAUAUCUCUUGCCAUUCCCUCCUGGCCUGUAGUAUUUCUGUAGAGAAAUCAGCUGAUAAUCUUAUGGGGGUUCCCUUGUAGGUAACAUUCUGUUUUUCUCUUGCUGCCUUUAGGAUCCUCUCUUUAUCACUAACUUUUGCCAUUUUUAUUACGAUGUGUCUUGGUGUGGGUCUAUUUGGGUUCAGUUUGUUUGGGGCCCUCUGUGUUUCUUGUAUCUUGAACCCAGUAUCCUUUAGAUUUGGGACGUUUCCAUCGAUAAUUUCUUCAAAUAUAUUUUCCAUCCCCUUAUCUUUUUCUACUCCUUCUGGAAUUCCUAUUAUGCGUAGAUUGGCCCGCUUUAUAUUAUCCCAUAGGUCUCUUAUAUUGCUUUCCAGUUUUUUGAUUCGGUUUUCUGUCUGUUGACCAGAUUGGGUGAUUUCCAUUAUUCUAUCUUCCAUAUCACUGAUUCGUUCUUCUGCAUUAUUUAUUCUGGUUUACUGUCCUUAGUUCAGUUUGCAUCUCUGCAAAUGAAUGUUCUAGUUUUCCUUGGCUCCUCCUUAUAUUUUCUAGUUCCUGUCUGAGGGUAUCUGCAUUACUGUCAUAUCUUCUCUUAAUUCCUUCAGUAUUUUCACUAUUUCUCUUUUGAACUCCAGGUCUGUCAGACUGCAGAGAUCAGUUUCAUUGUUGACUGUUUUAGGUGAGUUCUCCUGUUGGUUUGACUGGGGGUGGUUUCUCAGCUUCUUCAUCUUGCUUGUUGUUUUCUUUCUCCUGAGGGAGUUGUACUGUCCGUGAUCGGGCAGUGUUUGCCUUGUCACUGCCGUGGAAUAUUUCCUGAGGGCUGGCGUUGUUGGUCAAUCUUUUUUGAGGCAGUGUGGCUUUUCUGGAGUGUUGAUGGGGCUAACAGUGUUUCUUUGAAGCAAAGGAGGACUUCCUGAGGGCAGACAGGACUGGGAGGUCCACACCACGAUGGUAGCAGAUUUCACUUGGUCAUGCAGAGCUUGCUCUGGUGUUUUUAGGCUGUGGGUUCUUGCAGGGGGUUGGCGGUGUUGGGCAGCUGUUCCUCAGGAGUGCAGCACCCCCUGGGGGCUGGAGCAGCUAUCUGGGUCACUGAGAAUCUAAGAGGCUCUUCCCAAGGGCAGCCCAACUCAGAAGGACGGCCUGAGAAUGUAGGCGGAUCUUUUCACAGUCUGGCCAAGCUUGUUGCAGCUUUUCAGGGCUGCAGGGGCUCCUCCAGGGGGCUUGUGGUGCUGAGCAGCUAUUCCGCGGGAGUGGGGCACCCCCUGGGGGCUUGGGAGGGGCCACUAAAAACCCAAGGGGCUCCUCCCAGGGCAGCCCGACUCAGAAAAACCGUCCGAGAAUUAGGCAGAUCUAUUCACGGCCUGGCUAGGCUUGUUCUAGCUUUUCUGGGCUGCAGGCCUUUUCUCGGGGGCUUGUGAUGUUUGGUGCUGCUCUGUGGAAGUGUAGGCCCUCUAAAGGGGAAGCAGACCUGUGCAGGGACAGCCCCUGUGGUGGUAGGCUUCAGGCAAUUGUUGAGGCCAGCCCUCCUGGAUGGCAGGCAGCCCCAGGUUCGGGAGAGCGUAGGGGGUGGUGGGGGUGGGGGAGGGGAUGCACUGGGAAACACAGCUUUCAGCUAGCUAGCGGGCCUGUAAGCUUGCUGUGGCAUGGGGGGUAUUCUAUGGGGACCCACCCCUUCUUCUCUCCCCUCCCCAGCACGGGCACAGACCAGGCUCUUCUCCCAGGUUC